GCAGCCGCCGCGGUAACACAGAGGGUGCGAGCGUUAAUCGGAUUUACUGGGCGUAAAGCGUGCGUAGGCGGCUUUUUAAGUCGGAUGUGAAAUCCCUGAGCUUAACUUAGGAAUUGCAUUCGAUACUGGGAAGCUAGAGUAUGGGAGAGGAUGGUAGAAUUCCAGGUGUAGCGGUGAAAUGCGUAGAGAUCUGGAGGAAUACCGAUGGCGAAGGCAGCCAUCUGGCCUAAUACUGACGCUGAGGUACGAAAGCAUGGGGAGCAAACAGGAUUAGAUACCCCGGUAGUCCCUGUCUCUUAUAC
rnacentral:rRNA from 1 species